CGCGGCUCGGUACGGUGGCCGCGCUGGUGGGGCGGAGGAGGCUCGCUUUGCUCGCCCGGCCGCCAUGACCGCGCACAGCUUCGCGCUGCCGCUGAUCCUCUUCUCCGCCUUCUGGGGCCUCGUGGGCGUCGCCGCGCCCUGGUUCGUGCCCAAGGGGCCCAACCGCGGGGUCACCAUCACCAUGCUGGUCACCGGCGCCGUGUGCUGCUACCUCUUCUGGCUCAUAGCCAUCUUGGCUCAGGCAAACCCCCUGUUUGGGCCCCAGCUGAAGAAUGAGACCAUCUGGUAUGUGCGCUUCCUGUGGGAGUGACCUAUGUCCAGCCCAGAAGGUACCAGGAAGGAGAUGAGAUCACCCAUCUAUCAUGCUCCUUCUGAAAUCCAGAUGUUGCCCCAUCCUCUGCACCCUCCAGUGCCGUCCUGCCAGAGCUGGACCCCAGGUCAGACCACCUGCAGCACCACACCUGAGCCACUGCAUCGAGGAACCAAAAAGCAAAGGGCCACCUGUGCAGCCCUGUCUGAGGCAUGAGCCCCACCCCAAGAUGGGCCCUGUGGAGUAGGGGUUCCCCUAGCAGAGCUGGGCCCAAGCUCCCCUUUCUGAGCCAGGCGCUGUAGAGGGAAGUCCCACCUCCUUAGCAUGGGAGAGAGUCUGAAGUGGCUGGUUGAGCUCUGUGGUUCCCAAGGAAUUGGCUGGUGCUGAAGCCCACCCCGCCCCUUCGCUACAAGGACCCCGACGUGCUGCUGAUCAAGCAUGGGAGCAGCACGUUGCCUCUGUUUAGCCCUUAAAGCGGGGAGUGGAGACCUGAGUUUAACCUCAUGAUUCCUGUUGCAUGAAAUCCUGCCCCCAAACCAAACCACCCUAGAAUCUUAGGCCUCGUCUGCGCCUGGCAGCCCCUAUCCUCUGGCCUGUGCAUGUGAGAACUAGAACCCGAGACAUCCUCUGGACACGGAGCCCCCUCGGUGCUACCUGGGCCCUGGAGCAGCAUCCCUGCUGAUUGGUGGCCAUUGCUGACUAUUGCUGGGGGUGAGUCCUGAGGAAUAGGAUGCUGACGGGGGGAGGGAGUGCUGUGCUAGAAGUCAUGGUGAGUGGGUAGGUCGGGGUGGGACUCUCCUGUGUCAGUCUAGAGGGAGAGGGCCCCUCUUUCCCUCCCCGAGAGAGGUCCUGGUCCUGGAGCUGGUGCCACAGAUACCAGCCUCUUCUCUGUUGGGAGGGUUCCCACUCUCACUCCCCCUUGUGUGUUCUGGUUGUGGGGCAGGUGCUGACAAUCUGGGCAGUGUCCUGGCCUACCCCUCCCUUUCCCAUAUUUAUUGGUUAACUGCAGUGUAUUUGUCUUGUUUUGUGUUUAAAAUUGUGUCGUGAAAAUAAAUGUUUUUCUAGUAAGUGACUCUA